rnacentral:rRNA from 1 species
GUGAUUGGAAUGAGUACACUUUAAAUCCUUUAACGAGGAACCAUUGGAGGGCAAGUCUGGUGCCAGCAGCCGCGGUAACUCCAGCUCCAAUAGCGUAUAUUAAAGUUGUUGCGGUUAAAAAGCUCGUAGUCGGAUGUCUGUCUUCGGCCGGGCGGCGCCGCUCUGAAUCAAGGGUGUUGCGUUUCACGCUCUGGGAGCCCGGGUGUCAAAGCUCGACUCUCUUCACGGUCGGACAACACAGCCGGAGUGGAUGUGGGUGAGUCGCGGUUGUAUCGUUUUGAGAGUUCGUUCAUGUGGGGUGUGUUUCGCGAGUGCGUGAAGCUGGUUAACGCCGGCCUUUGCGUUCGCGCGUCGUGCCGUCGUGUGCGUCUUUUAUCUCGUUGACUCGAUUUGCUCCUCCACAGUCAAUCGUUCGGGGUGCCCUUCACCGGGUGUCUCGGGCGGCCGGCAACGUUUACUUUGAACAAAUUAGAGUGCUCAAAGCAGGUGUAUCCCAACGCCUGAAUAUCGCAGCAUGGAAUGAUGGAAUAGGACCUCGGUCCGAUUUUGCUGGUCUUUUACUUUUGGACCCGAGGUAAUGGUCAAUAGAGACGGACGGGGGCAAUCGUACUGCGGCGA